rnacentral:misc_RNA from 1 species
GAUGAAGAACGUAGCGAAAUGCGAUACGUAAUGUGAAUUGCAAAUUCAGUGAAUCAUCGAGUCUUUGAACGCACAUUGCGCCCCCUGGUAUUCCGGGGGGCAUGCCUGUCCGAGCGUCAUUGCUGCCCUCAAGCACGGCUUGUGUGUUGGGCCCCGUCCUCCGAUCCCGGGGGACGGGCCCGAAAGGCAGCGGCGGCACCGCGUCCGGUCCUCGAGCGUAUGGGGCUUUGUCACCCGCUUUGUAGGCCCGGCCGGCGCUUGCCGAUCAACCCAAAUUUUUAUCCAGGUUGACCUCGGAUCAGGUAGGGAUACCCGCUGAACUUAAGCAUAUCAAUAAGCGGAGGA